CUUCCGGUUGAUCCUGCCGGACCUGACUGCUAUCGGAUUGAUACUAAGCCAUGCGAGUCAUUGUAGCAAUACAAGGCAGACGGCUCAGUAACGCGUAGUCAACCUAACCUAUGGACGGGAAUAACCUCGGGAAACUGAGAAUAAUGCCCGAUAGAACACUAUACCUGGAAUGGUUUGUGUUCCAAAUGAUUUAUCGCCGUAGGAUGGGACUGCGGCCUAUCAGUUUGUUGGUGAGGUAAUGGCCCACCAAGACUAUUACAGGUACGGGCUCUGAGAGGAGUAGCCCGGAGAUGGGUACUGAGACACGGACCCAGGCCCUAUGGGGCGCAGCAGGCGAGAAAACUUUGCAAUGUGCGAAAGCACGACAAGGUUAAUCCGAGUGAUUUGUGCUAAACGAAUCUUUUGUUAGUCCUAGAACCACUAACGAAUAAGGGGUGGGCAAGUUCUGGUGUCAGCCGCCGCGGUAAAACCAGCACCUCAAGUGGUCAGGAUGAUUAUUGGGCCUAAAGCAUCCGUAGCCGGCUCUGUAAGUUUUCGGUUAAAUCUGUACGCUUAACGUACAGGCUGCCGGGAAUACUGCAGAGCUAGGGAGUGGGAGAGGUAGACGGUACUCGGUAGGAAGGGGUAAAAUCCUUUGAUCUAUUGAUGACCACCU
rnacentral:rRNA from 1 species